UCAAUGAAUACAUCCCCCCUUCUCUGAAUCUUAAACUAUAAAAUUGUUCGUUGUAUCCUCUGAAAAUUCAUCUGUUCAAUUGUUUCAAUAACAAGUUUCUUAAAAAGAUCCAGUGAUAACAAUGGCUAUCUCCGCUGUUAUAUAGUUUGAGGUUCUGCGAGCAACUCAUGCCCUUCAAUCUAAUUAUUGAAAAGUUAUUGUUUCCCAAUUCACGCAUGACCUUCCAUCUAUUUCUUGAAAAGUUGUAUAUUCCGAUUUGAAUGAUUAUUAAGGUUUUGUUUUGAUGUUUUGCAGGCAGAGAGAUUAAGAUAGAACGGAUGAGAGAUCAGAUCCAUUGUUGAAAGCUCGCUUACGAUGCGUUUCGGAAGCAUGGUCUGGAAUCUUCUAAGACGGCUGACUUUAUCUCUGGAGAUAGCUUGAUGGGUUCGAUCACUUGCGCUGUUCUGUAAUCUGUUUCUUCGUUGAGGUUGAAUCGAAGAACAGAGGUUGGAGAACGGGCUUCUUCGUUGAGAUGAUUUCUUUAUUGCCAAUUGGUAUUAGGAUUACUGUGACAGAAGCAUCUGAAGGACUGAUAGUGGGAGCAUCUGAAGGAAGAGCAAUAGAGCAUUGUGACAAAGAACAUCACGUCGUGCUUUGUUUUUUUUCCUUUUUGAAACUUUUUUAAAAGGUGGGUCAAAUGGUGAGUAAAUAAACCAAGUGAGUUGUAAGA